rnacentral:rRNA from 1 species
UACUCUUGACAUCCAGAGAACUUUCCAGAGAUGGAUUGGUGCCUUCGGGAACUCUGAGACAGGUGCUGCAUGGCUGUCGUCAGCUCGUGUUGUGAAAUGUUGGGUUAAGUCCCGCAACGAGCGCAACCCUUAUCCUUUGUUGCCAGCGGUUCGGCCGGGAACUCAAAGGAGACUGCCAGUGAUAAACUGGAGGAAGGUGAGGAUGACGUCAAGUCAUCAUGGCCCUUACGAGUAGGGCUACACACGUGCUACAAUGGCAUAUACAAAGAGAAGCGACCUCGCGAGAGCAAGCGGACCUCAUAAAGUAUGUCGUAGUCCGGAUUGGAGUCUGCAACUCGACUCCAUGAAGUCGGAAUCGCUAGUAAUCGUAGAUGAGAAUGCUACGGUGAAUACGUUCCCGGGCCUUGUACACACCGCCCGUCACACCAUGGGAGUGGGUUGCAAAAGAAGUAGGUAGCUUAACCUUCGGGAGGGCGCUUACCACUUUGUGAUUCAUGACUGGGGUGAAGUCGUAACAGGGUA